rnacentral:rRNA from 1 species
UCCAGAGGGGGCAAGCGUUGUUCGGAAUUACUGGGCGUAAAGGGCGCGUAGGCGGCCUCUUAAGUCGAACGUGAAAUCCCCGGGCUCAACCCGGGAACUGCGUCCGAUACUGGGAGGCUUGAAUCCGGGAGAGGGAUGUGGAAUUCCAGGUGUAGCGGUGAAAUGCGUAGAUAUCUGGAGGAACACCGGUGGCGAAGGCGGCAUCCUGGACCGGUAUUGACGCUGAGGCGCGAAAGCUAGGGGAGCAAACGGG